rnacentral:rRNA from 1 species
UCGAGAAUCAUUCACAAUGGGGGAAACCCUGAUGGUGCGACGCCGCGUGGGGAAUGAAGGUCUUCGGAUUGUAAACCCCUGUCAUGUGGGAGCAAAUUAAAAAGAUAGUACCACAAGAGGAAGAGACGGCUAACUCUGUGCC